GGUACUUAGGUUGUUUACAGCGCCACAAUAAACGGAGGUGAAAUGCACCCUUGAGCUGCUGUUAUGUCUCAACAACGAACCGAAUGGUAUUUAAUACAAUUAGUUAGUAUAUUAUAAAGGCACGGUAUUUGUUUAAGGGCUUUUUGGUUUUUUUUGAUACGCAUAUAUUUGGCUUGCGCUCCUAUCACAUAAAACUUUAAUACAUAUAGGUAACUAGUCUUCAUCAAUUUUAGCAAUAAAUAUAAUCAAAUAUAAUAUAAAUAUUAUCUAGACUCUCUUAUUAUAGUUACCAGUUUUAUUAUUCUGUGGUUUUAGUCUGUGGUUUGAUUUCAAUACCUACUGAUCGUAUCCUCAGGAUCAUAAUUCAGAUCACAGUUAAACAAAAAUCGAUCAGCUGAUUGAGUGUCUAUUAUAAUAUAUUGUUCGCUAGUUAUCG